AUGGGCCUCGAUGUCGCGGAAAUCUCUGAAUUGGCGGCGCUCCGGCCGAUCCAGACGGCCGCGAGCGGCGCCCGGGCCACGUCAGUACCGGGGGAGGACGACGGCACUGCCGUUGCCGACACUGGCUGCGUCACGCCGACGGCGAGCGGCGCGCAAUCGGCCAUGGCAGGGGGAGUCGACGACGACGACGCAGCCGCCGACACUGGUUGCGUCACGCCGAGGUCGAGCGGCUGCAUGGCCAUGCUGCCAAUUGCGCCACUGCAGCAAGACGACGGCGCCGAAGUCGGCUUCGCCACACCGCUGGCCACGGGUGGAGUAAUUGGGCAGCGAGACGGCUGCGCCGCUGCGGGCGACGAGAACAGCUUCACCACGCCGACCACGGCCGACAGCGCGCUGUUGCCGGCGACGGUGUGCCCGCCGGCGCCGCGGAAGUCGGCGCCGGUGCCGACGAGGAAGCGGGCGCCGCUGCAGCAGCGGCUCUUCUUCUACCCGGUGCCACACGACCUGGCCACCGUCUUCGUUGCCGUGCCGCAGUGCCCGCCGCCCGCCAAGAAGAUGCGGGCGCACGUGGUGGAGUCAUCUGUGCCUCUAGGCACGUGA
rnacentral:rRNA from 1 species